rnacentral:rRNA from 1 species
AUGGCGCAAGAUAAUACCAAAUUGUGUGAUUUCUCCAAUACCAAUAAUAAUGAUUUCCUUAGUACUCCGAUUGCUCCUCUUAAUGAUGUUGAGUCUUGUGAAAUCAAUACUGCUUUACUGAAUCUUGUUAUGAAAGAUCAAUUCGCCGGCCUUCCUAGUGAAGAUGCCGCUACCCAUCUAAACAAUUUUGUUGAUUUCUGUGAGAUGCAAAAGAAGAAAGAUACGGAUAAUGAUAUUGUUAAAUUGAAGUUAUUUCCAUUUUCACUUAGAGAUCGCGCUAAAGUUUGGUUUUCGUCUUUGCCUAAAAAUAGUAUUGAUUCUUGGAAUAAGUGCAAAGAUGUUUUUAUCUCUAAGUAUUUUCCUUCCGCUAAGAUCAUCACUCUUAGGAACGAUAUUAUGAAUUUUAAACAACUUGAUCAUGAGCAUGUUGCCCAAUCUUGGGAAAGAAUGAAAUUGAUGAUUCGCAAUUGCCCUACUCAUGGUUUGAAUUUAUGGAUGAUUAUACAAAAAAAUUAUGCCGGCUCGAAUUUUGCUUCUAGA